rnacentral:tmRNA from 1 species
AAUAUUGGAAAUGCGGGCGGGAUGCCCUAUAAUAGAAAUUGUCGGGUCAAACCGACUAUGACGAUAAACGCGCUGUGGAAUAGGCGAUACGGACCCGGGGGCGGUACCCGGCGGCUCCACCAAUUAUCCAGUUUGCGGUUGCUUUGCGAAAAGCCCGCGCCGGUAUGGGGCCGAAAUAGGAUCGACGUGCGUAGUAAAGAUGGUUGCUUUCGUCCGGCAUUGUUCCGCCGUUAUCGGGCUACUUUUAUAAAUGCUAACGAUAACACCGUAGCACCGGUUGCUCUCGCUGCCUAAUGGCGGCCUGAGUGCCAAAUGAUACAAUCCCUGUAUCUUUGCGGAUAUAGGUGGGGCGUGGGGCAGGCCUAGCAACAGAACUGCCCCAUU